rfam:Gossypium raimondii Chr09_contig_53, whole genome shotgun sequence.
UUGACAGAAGAGAGUGAGCACACAGAGGCACUUGUAUAAGGCUAUACUUUUGCUUUUGCGUGCUCACUUCUCUUUCUGUCAG